rnacentral:rRNA from 1 species
CCUACGGGUGGCAGCAGUGAGGAAUAUUGGUCAAUGGACGAGAGCCUGAACCAGCCAAGUCGCGUGAAGGAUGACGGAUCUAUGGUUUGUAAACUUCUUUUAUAUGGGAAUAAAGUGAGGAACGUGUUCCUUUUUGUAUGUACCAUAUGAAUAAGCAUCGGCUAACUCCGUGCCAGCAGCCGCGGUAAUACGGAGGAUCCGAGCGUUAUCCGGAUUUAUUGGGUUUAAAGGGUGCGUAGGUGGUCAAUUAAGUCAGUGGUGAAAGUUUGUGGCUCAACCAUAAAAUUGCCGUUGAUACUGGUUGACUUGAGUAGAUCUGAGGUAGGCGGAAUGCGUGGUGUAGCGGUGAAAUGCAUAGAUAUCACGCAGAACUCCGAUUGCGAAGGCAGCUUACUAAACUAUAACUGACACUGAUGCACGAAAGUGUGGGUAUCAAACAGGAUUAGAUACCCGGGUAGUC